CCCUUAGAUGUUCUGGGCCGCACGCGCGCUACACUGACGAUGUCAGAGAGUCUCUCCUUCACCGAGAGGUGUGGGUAAUCUUGCAAACAUCGUCGUGCUGGGGAUAGAUCAUUGCAAUUUUUGAUCUUGAACGAGGAAUUCCUAGUAAGCGCGAGUCAUCAGCUCGCGUUGAUUACGUCCCUGCCCUUUGUACACACCGCCCGUCGCUACUACCGAUUGAAUGGUUUAGUGAGGCCUCCUGACUGGCGCCGAUACUCUGGCAACAGAGCGCCGGAUGCCGGAAAGUUGGUCAAACUUGAUCAUUUAGAGGAAGUAAAAGUCGUAACA
rnacentral:rRNA from 1 species